GGAUGUGAGGGAUGAUCUAGCUUUGGCGUCUGUCACCCAAUCAAUUGCCAGCAUUGAUUUGGCUGAUCUAGCUGCCUAGACACAUGUCCCCUCCUUCUCUCUCCACUCCAAGUACACUCCUCCCCAAACUGCAUGCCUAGUGGAAGAGGAUAAUCUUCCCCAAUAGAGGGGGAUUGGUCUUUGAGUUAACUCUUCUCCCCUGAUAGAAUCUCCAAACAAGGUCUCAAGGUCCAUUUUUAGGAGAACAUAGCAUAGUCAAGCUUCUAAGACUCCAAACACAUCCAAAUGAGGCACUGCUUGUGUCGGCCUGCCUUUCUUA
ensembl:misc_RNA 7SK 7SK RNA